UACGUAGGGUGCAAGCGUUAAUCGGAAUACUGGCGUAAGGCGUGACGCAGGCGGUGAUGUAAGACAGAUGUGAAAUCCCCGGGCUCAACCUGGGAACUGCAUUUGUGACUGCAUCGCUGGAGUGCGGCAGAGGGGGAUGGAAUUCCGCGUGUAGCAGUGAAAUGCGUAGAUAUGCGGAGGAACACCGAUGGCGAAGGCAAUCCC
rnacentral:rRNA from 1 species